GACGAAGGGGGGCUAGCGUUGUUCGGAAUUACUGGGCGUAAAGCGAGUGUAGGUGGUUUUCCAAGUUGGAUGUGAAAGCCUUGAGCUCAACUCAAGAAAUGCAUUCAGGACUGGAAGACUAGAGGACCGGAGAGGAUAGUGGAAUUCCCAGUGUAGUGGUGAAAUACGUAGAGAUUGGGAAGAACACCAGUGGCGAAGGCGGCUAUCUGGACGGUUUCUGACACUAAGACUCGAAAGCGUGGGGAGCAAACAGG
rnacentral:rRNA from 1 species